rnacentral:rRNA from 1 species
UGAUUACGUCCCUGCCCUUUGUACACACCGCCCGUCGCUACUACCGAUUGAAUGAUUUAGUGAGGUCUUCGGACUGAUGCGCGGCAAUGUGUUUACUACGUUGCCGAUUGUGCCGGGAAGAUGACCAAACUUGAUCAUUUAGAGGAAGUAAAAGUCGUAACAAGGUUUCCGUAGGUGAACCUGCGGAAGGAUCAUUAACGUUCUUGCUCCCGCUGUGCAGCUUUGUAUAGAGAGGCACACGCGGAGAGAUAAACAAGCACCGACGUGUAUCUUUUGUCGAUGACGACGACGACGACGACGACGACGAAUCGUUGUUGCCUGCGUCUCGUCUCGACAUUUGCGUCUUCGCGUGAAACUGCUGCGCGCACUUUCUUACGCUGUUUUUGGUUUUUUUUCUCUGCGCGUGUGUGCGUGUCACGCACACACACACGCACAGUUGAAUUUUUUUUGGUUUUCUGCUUUCUUUGGUUGUGCUCGGUUUCCUCGUGCGAUCAUCGAGAUCGAGAGAGAAAUUUACAAUGAACACGAAAGAAAGGACAAUAGAAAACGACAAUAAAAAACUUUGCGCUUUUUUUUUUCUUCUCGGUGUGCUUGCCGCGCGCCGAGAGCGAGAAAAAAAAAAGAAACAAACAUGUGAUUUUCUUUCGCUCUCGACUCCUCGCGCGCGCGCGCUACGUGCGUGUGUGCUGCGAGUAGUUCGGGGGUGUUGGCAAAAUUAACAAACUUUUUUAUGAUUACCCUGAACGGUGGAUCACUUGGCUCGUGGAUCGAUGAAGAACGCAGCUAAUUGCGCGUCAACUUGUGAACUGCAGGACACAUGAACAUCGACAUUUCGAACGCACAUUGCGGUCCACGGAUCUCGUUCCCGGACCACGCCUGGCUGAGGGUCGUUUAUAAAAACGAACCCGACUGCUCUCUCGCAAGAGAGAGCGUUGAUCUGGGCGCUCGUCUCUAACUCUACGCGCUCUUUUUCUUCCGAGAGGAGGGUAGUGUAGCAGUGUGAUACGUCGCCUCAAACGAGACGCAAGAAAAAAGAUGAAUUCGUUCGUCUAGCUGGCGCGCGCGCGCUUACCGCUUGGAGAGUACGCGAGUACUUCCGAUCGUUCUGCGUCGAGUCCCGGAGCUUUCUCGACUACUCGUCGAGCAGCGGACCGACGUCUAGCACACGAUCAGGCUCGUCCAUGCAUCGGUCAUUGAACGCGCGCGCGCUCGUGCCCUUUUACGCGCUCACACACACACACACACACACGCACUGUGUGCUGUGCUCUGUGCUGCUGCUGCUGCGUAUCAGAGUCAAAGUGGCUAGCUCGAAGAAGCUUUUUGCUGAACGAGUCUUUUUUCUCGAUCGACGACCUCAGAGCAGGCGAGGCCACCCGCUGAAUUUAAGCAUAUUAUUAAGCGGAGGAAAAGAAACUAACGAGGAUUUCCUUAGUAACGGCGAGUGAAA